AGGACGAACGCUGGCGGCGUGCUUAACACAUGCAAGUCGAACGGAAAGGCCCUUCGGGGUACUCGAGUGGCGAACGGGUGAGUAACACGUGGGUGAUCUGCCCCGCACUUUGGGAUAAGCCUGGGAAACUGGGUCUAAUACCGAAUAGGACCAUGGCAUGCAUGUGCUGUGGUGGAAAGCUUUUGCGGUGUGGGAUGGGCCCGCGGCCUAUCAGCUUGUUGGUGGGGUUAAGGCCUACCAAGGCGACGACGGGUAGCCGGCCUGAGAGGGUGUCCGGCCACACUGGGACUGAGAUACGGCCCAGACUCCUACGGGAGGCAGCAGUGGGGAAUAUUGCACAAUGGGCGCAAGCCUGAUGCAGCGACGCCGCGUGGGGGAUGGACGGCCUUCGGGUUGUAACCCUUUCAGUAGGGACGAAGCGCAGUGACGGUACCUACAGAAGAAGCACCGGCCAACUACGUGCCAGCAGCCGC
rnacentral:rRNA from 1 species